GGCGGUCUGCGCUUCCCGACAGGAAUAACAUAUCCCCGGGGCCUUAUCGAUCCAACAGGGAGCUGUCCCUGGCUUCUCCCGUGGGAGGGGCCAUACGGCGCCCACCUACACUGUAGGCACCCGGGAUCGAACUUUCCAUCGGUUGUGUGGAUCGCUA
rnacentral:sRNA from 1 species